rnacentral:rRNA from 1 species
GAUGAACGCUGGCGGCGUGCCUAAUACAUGCAAGUCGAGCGAACAGACGAGGAGCUUGCUCCUCUGACGUUAGCGGCGGACGGGUGAGUAACACGUGGAUAACCUACCUAUAAGACUGGGAUAACUUCGGGAAACCGGAGCUAAUACCGGAUAAUAUAUUGAACCGCAUGGUUCAAUAGUGAAAGACGGUUUUGCUGUCACUUAUAGAUGGAUCCGCGCCGCAUUAGCUAGUUGGUAAGGUAACGGCUUACCAAGGCAACGAUGCGUAGCCGACCUGAGAGGGGGAUCGGCCACACUGGAACUGGAAAACGGCCCAAACCCCUACGGGAGGAAGCAGUGGGGAAUCUUCCGCAAUGGGCGAAAGCCUGACGGGGAAACGCCGCGUGGGUGAGGAAGGUCUUCGGAUCGUAAAACUCUGUUAUUAGGAAAGAACAAAUGUGUAAGUAACAAUGAACGUCUGGACGGUACCAAAUCAGAAAGCAACGGCAAACUACGU